rnacentral:rRNA from 1 species
UCAUAUCAAUAAGCGGAGGAAAAGAAACCAACAGGGAUUGCCUUAGUAACGGCGAGUGAAGCGGCAACAGCUCAAAUUUGAAAGCUGGCCCUUUUAGGGUCCGCAUUGUAAUUUGUAGAGGAUGAUUCGGCGAGGGCUCCUGCCUAAGUCCCCUGGAACGGGGCGUCAUAGAGGGUGAGAAUCCCGUAUGCGGUAGGUUGCCUUAGCCAUGUGAAUCUCCUUCGACGAGUCGAGUUGUUUGGGAAUGCAGCUCUAAAUGGGAGGUAAAUUUCUUCUAAAGCUAAAUACCGGCCAGAGACCGAUAGCGCACAAGUAGAGUGAUCGAAAGAUGAAAAGCACUUUGGAAAGAGAGUUAAAAAGUACGUGAAAUUGUUGAAAGGGAAGCGCUUGCAACCAGACUUGUCCGCAGUUGCUCAGCCGGUCUCCUGACCGGCGUACUCUUCUGCGGCCAGGCCAGCAUCAGUUCGGGCGGUCGGAUAAAGGCCUCGGGAAUGUGGCUCCUCUCGGGGAGUGUUAUAGCCCGGGGUGCAAUGCGGCCAGCCUGGACUGAGGAACUCGCUUCGGCAAGGAUGCUGGCGUAAUGGUUGUAAGCGGCCCGUCUUGAAACACGGACCAAGGAGUCUAACAUCUAUGCGAGUGUUCGGGUGUCAAACCCGUACGCGUAAUGAAAGUGAACGGAGGUGGGAACCCGCAAGGGUGCACCAUCGGCCGAUCCUGAUGUCUUCGGAUGGAUUUGAGCAAGAGCAUAGCUGUUGGGACCCGAAAGAUGGUGAACUAUGCCUGAAUAGGGUGAAGCCAGAGGAAACUCUGGUGGAGGCUCGCAGCGGUUCUGACGUGCAAAUCGAUCGUCAAAUUUUGGUUUAGGGCGAAAGACUAAUCGAACCAUCUAGUA